GAUGAAGAACGUAGCGAAAUGCGAUAAGUAGUGUGAAUUGCAGAAUUCAGUGAAUCAUCGAAUCUUUGAACGCACAUUGCGCCCUUUGGUAUUCCUUAGGGCAUGCCUGUUCGAGCGUCAUUUCAACCCUCAAGCCCCCCGGGUUUGGUGUUGGGGAUCGGCUCUGCCUCACGGCGGUGCCGCCCCCGAAAUACAUUGGCGGUCUCGCUGCAGCCUCCAUUGCGUAGUAGCUAACACCUCGCAACUGGAACGCGGCGCGGCCAUGCCGUAAAACCCCAACUUCUGAAUGUUGACCUCGGAUCAGGUAGGAAUACCCGCUGAACUUAAGCAUAUCAAUAAGCGGAGGA
rnacentral:misc_RNA from 1 species